GCGCGAUUUCGGGCGACCACCAGUAAU
rnacentral:sRNA from 1 species